rnacentral:rRNA from 1 species
UGGGGAAUAUUGGACAAUGGGGGGAACCCUGAUCCAGCAAUGCCGCGUGUGUGAAGAAGGCCUGAGGGUUGUAAAGCACUUUCAGUAGGGAGGAGUGAACCUGGGUUAAGAGCUAGGGUUCAGGACGUUACCUACAGAAGAAGCACCGGCUAACUCCGUGCAAGCAGCCGCGGUAAUACGGAGGGUGCGAGCGUUAAUCGGAAUUACUGGGCGUAAAGGGUGUGUAGGUGGUUUGGUAAGUUAUCUGUGAAAGUCCUGGGCUCAACCUGGGAAGGUCAGAUAAGACUGCGAGACUUGAGUAUAGGAGAGGGUAGUGGAAUUUCCGGUGUAGCGGUGAAAUGCGUAGAGAUCGGAAGGAACACCAGUGGCGAAGGCGGCUACCUGGCCUGAUACUGACACUGAGGCACGAAAGCGUGGGGAGCAAA